rnacentral:rRNA from 1 species
AGUGAACGCUGGCGGUAGGCCUAACACAUGCAAGUCGAACGGCAGCACAGUAAGAGCUUGCUCUUACGGGUGGCGAGUGGCGGACGGGUGAGGAAUACAUCGGAAUCUACUUUUUCGUGGGGGAUAACGUAGGGAAACUUACGCUAAUACCGCAUACGACCUACGGGUGAAAGCAGGGGAUCUUCGGACCUUGCGCGAUUGAAUGAGCCGAUGUCGGAUUAGCUGGUUGGCGGGGUAAAGGCCCACCAAGGCGACGAUCCGUAGCUGGUCUGGGAGGAUGAUCAGCCACACGGGAACUGGGACACGGUCCAGACUCCUACGGGAGGCAGCAGUGGGGAAUAUUGGACAAUGGGCGCAAGCCUGAUCCAGCCAUACCGCGUGGGUGAAGAAGGCCUUCGGGUUGUAAAGCCCUUUUGUUGGGAAAGAAAAGCAGCAGGUUAAUACCCCGCUGUUCUGACGGUACCCAAAGAAUAAGCACCGGCUAACUUCGUG